rnacentral:tRNA from 1 species
CCUUUGAUAGCUCAGUUGGUAUAGCGGAGGACUGUAGGGGAAAUAGUAAGGCAUCCUUAGGUCGCUGGUUCGACUCCGGCUCGAAGGA